CCUACGGGAGGCAGCAGUGGGGAAUAUUGGACAAUGGGGGCAACCCUGAUCCAGCAAUGCCGCGUGUGUGAUGAAGGCCUUAGGGUUGUAAAGCACUUUCACUGGUGAAGAUGAUGACGGUAACCAGAGAAGAAGCCCCGGCUAACUUCGUGCCAGCAGCCGCGGUAAUACGAAGGGGGCGAGCGUUGUUCGGAAUUACUGGGCGUAAAGGGAGCGCAGGCGGUUCAUUCAGUUAGGCGUGAAAGCCCCGGGCUCAACCUGGGAACUGCGCUUAAUACUGAUGAGCUAGAAAACAGGAGAGGGUAGUGGAAUUUCCAGUGUAGAGGUGAAAUUCGUAGAUAUUGGAAAGAACACCGGUGGCGAAAGCGGCUACCUGGCCUGGUUUUGACGCUGAGGCUCGAAAGCGUGGGGAGCAAACAGGAUUAGAUACCCUGGUAGUCCACGCCGUAAACGAUGACAGCUAGAUGUCGGGGGGUUGCCUCUCGGUGUCGCCGCUAACGCAUUAAGCUGUCCGCCUGGGAAGUACGGUCGCAAGAUUAAAACUCAAAUGAAUUGACG
rnacentral:rRNA from 1 species